UCUCCUCCUUCUCCUCCCUCUACCUUCGACCUGAAUCCGCCAUAACUUAAACAUGUAAGUCUUCUUUCCUUUCCCUUGGUCAGAAAAAUCCUAAAGCUACUUCAAUGCUUCAUCUUCUACUCUAUUCUUCCAAUCCUACAAAGAAUCAUUCCCAUCUUGCUAAUAAUUGUUCAUUUUUAAACCCUAAAUCGUGUUAACCCUAAAUACCAUUAAAAUCAAAUAUCAAAUUUUGAAACAAUCGUUUCGAGUUUCCUCAUCUCUUAUUAUUUUUCUUCUUGAACAACAAAUUGAUAAGAUCAUUUUACGAACCCUAGAUACUAAAAUUUCAUAUGGGAUCAAAUAAUUCAUAGACUUUGGUUGCUUACUUGCAAGCUAUUUCCUAGUAUUCUGCAUACGCCAUAUCAUGGAAGAGAGAUACACUCCUUGUUCUUUGUCUCUAAUGAAUAAGAAACAUAUACAAAUGGAAGCAGCCAUCACUCAAACCGAUUGAGCUGCAUUGCGACAGGUUGUGAAGAUGAAACAUUCACACUGACAAGGUACAAAUUCCGUUCUUUUAUAAAAUCCAAAUUAUUCCAAGGGUGUCGCAUACAAAUUUUUGAUGCCUCCAAUAAUCUUCAUCAGUAGCUGGAAGCUACACUUUAUGCAUGAUCUUGAGCUGAUAGGAGAACCGUCAUACAGGUAUACCCCUGACUCUGAAAUGUUUGGUUGAAGUCUUACUUUAGUAAAGAGUACAACUGGUGCAUCUGUUGCAACAAACAUAUACUUCAGCCGUUUUCCACUUGCAACUCUGUUGAGACCCUUCCAAAAAAUUUGCAUGCCUCCCAAAGUAUAUAAAGUGGUUCAGUCUUACACUACAUGCAGAAAAAGGAAUAAGUAUUUCCUUAGAUGGAGACUGCUGACUGAGCGUCGGACAAGUCUGAUGGUAUGCUUUGGGGUCGAAGGAAUUAUUGUUGCACGGAAAUAAAUUGUUGGUUCUUCUCUAGCUACUGAUGGUCCCAUUCAUGGUAUGUCAGUUACCAUGUGAGCAGAUACAGCAUAUCAAAGUUUGCUAACAAUUACAACGUGUAUGCUGUGGACUUAUUGGGAUUUGGCUGGAGCAAUAAAGCACUUGUCAACUAUCAUGCAGUGGUAUUAGAAAGUGUUGAAUCCAUUUUACAGAUAACGCCUACAUCCAUUGUAAGCUCAAGUUGCAGAUGAGGUGGUUGAUCUUCAUCUUUUCCUGCUACGACGCAAAGUGAAGAUGUCAUGUAUUCCCCUUAAUAUCCUAAAUUCAAGGUUAAAGCGAAUAAGAGAUGUCUUAUUAGUGCUUCUUGAAGUUCUGGGGAAGAAGGUUAAUCUUGUUUUCAGUGCAUAUUCACACCUAAAACUGUUGUAGUUCUAGUACUGUAUGUCAAGUUAUGUUUUUGGUUUGUUCCAUAUGGAAUUGACGAUUGUGUUAUUGACCUAGCUUAAUUAUUUGUAUUUGAAUCUUCCAGAGGUAUUUGAUUUUCUAUGAUGAAUUGACUUCAAGCUUU